rnacentral:rRNA from 1 species
GCCUAACACAUGCAAGUCGAGCGGCAGCACGGGAAGCUUGCUUCCUGGUGGCGAGCGGCGGACGGGUGAGUAAUGCAUAGGAAUCUGCCCGGUAGUGGGGGAUAACCUGGGGAAACCCAGGCUAAUACCGCAUACGUCCUACGGGAGAAAGCAGGGGCUCUUCGGACCUUGCGCAAUCGGAUGAGCCUAUGUCGGAUUAGCUGGUUGGUGAGGUAAUGGCUCACCAAGGCGACGAUCCGUAGCUGGUCUGAGAGGAUGAUCAGCCACAUCGGGACUGGGACACGGCCCGAACUCCUACGGGAGGCAGCAGUGGGGAAUAUUGGACAAUGGGGCGCAAGCCUGAUCCAGCCAUGCCGCGUGUGUGAAGAAGGCCCUCGGGUUGUAAAGCACUUUCAGUGGGGAAGAACGCCUUCCGGUUAAUACCCAGGAGGAAAGACAUCACCCACAGAAGAAGCACCGGCUAACUCCCUGCCAGCAGCCGCGGUUAUACCGAGGGUGCGAGCGUUAAUCGGAAUUACUGGGCGUAAAGCGCGCGUAGGUGGGUUGAUUAACCGGUUGUGAAAGCCCCGGGCUCAACCUGGGAACGGCAUCCGGAACUGUCAGGCUAGAGUGCAGGAGAGGAAGGUAGAAUUCCCGGUGUAGCGGUGAAAUGCGUAGAGAUCGGGAGGAAUACCAGUGGCGAAGGCGGCUUCUGGACUGACACUGACACUGAGGUGCGAAAGCGUGGGUAGCAAACAGGAUUAGAUACCCUGGUAGUCCACGCCGUAAACGAUGUCGACUAGCCGUUGGGUCCUUCGCGGACUUUGUGGCGCAGUUAACGCGAUAAGUCGACCGCCUGGGGAGUACGGCCGCAAGGUUAAAACUCAAAUGAAUUGACGGGGGCCCGCACAAGCGGUGGAGCAUGUGGUUUAAUUCGAUGCAACGCGAAGAACCUUACCUACCCUUGACAUCCUGCGAACCCUUCGGAGACGAAGGGGUGCCUUCGGGAACGCAGAGACAGGUGCUGCAUGGCUGUCGUCAGCUCGUGUUGUGAAAUGUUGGGUUAAGUCCCGUAACGAGCGCAACCCUUGUCCCUAUUUGCCAGCGAUUCGGUCGGGAACUCUAGGGAGACUGCCGGUGACAAACCGGAGGAAGGUGGGGACGACGUCAAGUCAUCAUGGCCCUUACGGGUAGGGCUACACACGUGCUACAAUGGUCAGUACAAAGGGUUGCGAACUUGCGAGAGUGAGCCAAUCCCAGAAAGCUGAUCUCAGUCCGGAUCGGAGUCUGCAACUCGACUCCGUGAAGUCGGAAUCGCUAGUAAUCGUGAAUCAGAAUGUCACGGUGAAUACGUUCCCGGGCCUUGUACACACCGCCCGUCACACCAUGGGAGUGGACUGCACCAGAAGUGGUUAGCCUAACCUUCGGGAGGGCGAUCACCACGGUGUGGUUCAUGACUGGGGUGAAGUCGCAACAAGGUAGCCGUAGGGGAACCUGCGGCUGGAUCACCUCCUU